rnacentral:rRNA from 1 species
UACGUAGGGGGGCAAGCGUUGUCCGGAAUUACUGGGCGUAAAGAGCGUGUAGGCGGAUAGUUAAGUCAGAUGUGAAAACUUGGGGCUCAACCGCAAGAGUGCAUCUGAUACUGGUUAUCUUGAGGGUAUGAGAGGAAAACGGUAUUCCUAGUGUAGCGGUGAAAUGCGUAGAUAUUAGGAGGAACACCAGUGGCGAAGGCGGUUUUCUGGCAUACAACUGACGCUGAGACGCGAAAGCGUGGGGAGCAAACAGGAUUAGAAACCCCUGUAGU